GAUGAACGCUAGCGGCAGGCUUAAUACAUGCAAGUCGAGGGGCAGCAUGAGUGUAGCAAUACAUUUGAUGGCGACCGGCAAACGGGUGCGGAACACGUACACAACCUUCCUAUAAGUGGGGAAUAGCCCAGAGAAAUUUGGAUUAAUACCCCGUAACAUAAUGAUGUGGCAUCACAUUAUUAUUAUAGCUUCGGCGCUUAUUGAUGGGUGUGCGGCUGAUUAGAUAGUUGGCGGGGUAACGGCCCACCAAGUCUACGAUCAGUAGCUGAUGUGAGAGCAUGAUCAGCCACACGGGCACUGAGACACGGGCCGGACUCCUACGGGAGGCAGCAGUAAGGAAUAUUGGUCAAUGGACGCAAGUCUGAACCAGCCAUGCCGCGUGAAGGAUUAAGGUCCUCUGGAUUGUAAACUUCUUUUAUCUGGGACGAAAAAAGGCGAUUCUUCGUCACUUGACGGUACCAAAUGAAUAAGCACCGGCUAACUCCGUGCCAGCCGCCGCAGUAAGAC
rnacentral:rRNA from 1 species